UUUUGAUUGUCAUCUAGAAACCAACACUAUCAUUCUCAGAAGAAAAUUGUCUAGGUUAACGUCAAUAAUAUUCAGACUCUUUCAACUCUUAAUGUUGGAUGAGAAAUCAGAACCACUUUCAAAACACAAAAAAUGUAAAAAUCACAAACAAAUAUUUAGACCUCCUCCCUUUUGAUACAUGGAUUUAACCCAUGAGUCAAUUGCUUAAAAGAAAAGAGAUGUUAGCAUGUGUACCUUGAUUAACCCAGGUUCACCCUUCAUCAAAACCUGAUUUCACAAAGAUGAUAUGGAUUGAAAAUGACAAGAACAGAAAUGAUUGUAUGUGGUCCUUCAAACAUCUGUUUAAAGCAUCUUAUUAGAAAAACUCAUUUUACUGCAGAUAAUCUAAGAUUAAAAACAAACACAAGCAUAUAAAACAAUCAAAAAUCCCCAAACAAGCAAAAACAAAACUAUAUAGUGUAUGUACACUGAAUUCAGUAACACCUUCUCUAACUCUUAAAAUAAAAAUCAAGUCUGUGUUGCAGUCAGAAGUCCAAGUCAAAAAGUCAUGUAUAGUCACAAAAAAUAAUCCCAUGUAAAUUGUUAUAUGGGAGAGAUCACAAAUCCAUGGACACUAAUACACUUCUAAAAACUUCAAUUAAGAUAUCGCUUAGUGAUUCUAUUAAAUGUUUUGUUUGUAAAUUUUGCAUCUCCAAUAAUCCAAUAUUUCUAGGAAAAUUACGAAUAGAAUCAACUUUUUUAGUAAACCUUCCGGAGGAAAUAAUCUGGCCACAUAACACAAAUGAACCCUGUAAAGUUAUAGCAAAUUCCAAUAACGUGAGUCAAAGAUAACAUGAAUACGCUAGAUUCACAUUCAGUUAGUAAUCACUGAUAAACCACCAGGACUGUCUGGGUGAAAACAGCUCCAUAUGGUUCUAAAGUUAAUUAACCCUUUGGUGUGAGGACAGACAAGGUGGGGGUGAGGUGUCAAACAAUGGAACCUUGGCUUAGAGACUCAAGUAAAAUCUAUUCGGAUGUUAUCAGUUUCAGUAAACAUCCACAUCAACCAGUAUCUGGUCAUAAUUACUAUCCCGUUUUAUCAUUAUCAUUAUUACAUUAUCAUCACUCAGGGAUGAAAAUGACUAUAGAAAAAAUUGGUUAUUCAUCUAUUUUUCUAUCAAUCUGACAUAUGUGCUUUCCCUAUAAAAUCUUUUUAAAAAUUUAAUUCAAUCCUACUGAUUUCUUUUCAAAAACUUGUGGAGCAUAAAUAGUCUGGAUAUAAAAACUACUCAUUCUAAAUUUACUGUUGAAAUUUAGUAUUGAUUUGGGAAACAUCUUAAUAAUUUAUCCCUUUUCUAUAUGUUUCUAUGUUCAUUGCUGUGUCUUCUCUAUGCUCUGACCUGUUCUCCUCUGCUGUCUCUGUGGUUUAGCUGAUUUUGAUGAAAUCCUUGGGUCUGGAUCGAACUGGAUCUGGUUCUUCUUGAUUAGAAUAGUCACAUUAUGAUUCUGAUCGCUCUGUCAGUGCUGUUCUCUUCUCCUUCAUUCAUUUUCUUGGACCUUUCUCACACCGGCUGGUGUAAACUUCCAUCACCUUCAGUCCCUUGAAGAGACAGCAGCUGUUCUUCCAUCUCUCAGUCACCAACACCUUCCCGUCUUCACUCCUGAGCAUUUGUUGCAUCUUCCCUUUUGUUCAGAUUCUGGUGCCUGUAAUCAACAAACACCUACUGGAAGAAAAUCCUUUUUUCCUGGAAGGAGCAGUUAGUGAGAGUCUUGGUUUGUGUCCUGCACAGAGGUCAGAGAGAGGUCAGAGAGUGUCCUUUCUCCCCCACUGUGGGUAUUCUGCUUCUGGUCAACAUCAGCUUUUGUUGGUCCCAGAUUCCUGUAGAGAUGACGUCUCCUUGAUGGAUCAAAGCUCCUCACACAGAGACAGCAGGGUACAGAUCCCUGAUUCCUCCCCUACUUGCUAAUUUAUCCCCAUUGUUCACUUUCACAAGACUUUCUUUCUCAAAACAAAUCUUACAGAUUUCCAUCUACUCUUAACCUUCCCUACCUUCUUCUUCCUACCUGCCAACUUCCUCUUCUCCUGGUUCAACCUUUUGCUAAUGAGUGACACGGACUACAUAAUAAAAUGUUAUUUGUUUCUAUAGUUUACCUGGUGCCAAAGUUGAACAUCCUCACCCAGUUUUCCAUUGUUUGCAGCCUGUUAAUCAGAGCCUGUAAGAAUUAAAUAGUAAUUUCUCUGGUUUUGUUCCUAGACUCACUUGGGCAGAUGCUUAGACUUUAAUUGGAUUUUUUCAAACACACAAGUCUCCACUCAUUCUGAUCUUCCCAUACCACAGCAUGGUUAGACAUUAGCAUUCACACAAUUACCUUAUGAUGACUCUGGUUCAGCCAGGUAGUUUGAACGACACAUUCGUUCAGAGCAGCGUGCCCUGUGGUGUGUCUAUCAUGCUGCACACACACACUGAAGGAGUCAUCACAAGCUUAUAGCAUUAUAUAUAUAUUAUUAGAUCAAUCAUAUUCCCUUUACUCCAGUGGGACAUCCAUAGAUCUACUAUCUCCAUAAUUAAGUAUAAUUAAUAGUUAUCUUAUAUAACAGUUAUAAUUAAUCUAGACUUAAAAACCAACAACAAAAAACAAACAAGCCACAUCUGACACAAAGUGACAUAUAACACACAAGCUGAGCUUAAAGUGGUUCACAAUCUUGCUUAAUUUUUACUCGUACGGGGGUUUCCCUUAUAAGCCCUCAUGGCUUCACAAAUUCUUCGUAAUCCUACCAGUGAUCAAUCAGUUACCUUUCCCUGUUUAUUUGUAUUUUUUUUUUUUUUUAUCCACACUGGUGUCUGCUACUCACAAAGUCCUUCACAGACUAAUGGGCUCUCACUCACCAUCAAGGUAUUACAGAAUUUAAACACGAACGUGACUUAACCAAUACCAAGCGCUACAACACCCAAAGUGUUUCCGUAAACAGAGAUGAUUCAUAACACUGUACUCACAAACUGAAUGGAGCGUCCGCUGUCCGCCACCCGGACCCAGCAUCAGGCGGGAUUUCAGCCCUCCAUUUGUUGGAGCGGAAAUUUCCCUGAAUCUCCUUUGAGAUUCCCACCGGUGGUUUACCUUCAGUCUGGGCCAGGCGUCGAUCAACGGAACAUCCAUCCCACUUCUGACACCAAAUUGUUGUGGAAAUCUUCUUAUAAAGAAAUCAACCGGAGAUCAUCAGUGUGAUAAACCAUCUCAAAGUUUACUCUCAUGUCGACACGGAGUGGAUCACAAUUACAUUUAAGACGUAAGGCACAUCUCACUAUGUACAAAGUAUCCACUGAAGGACUGAGGACACAAGACCUGUAUUUAUACCCUGUUACAAACCCCCACAUGAGCUGUUGACUGGUCUUUGAUAUACAUGAGUGCAGUAAACCCCCCUUUACUUCCUUAACAAUGUUCCUGUGGUCACUACAGUGAAACCCCCACAAUUUGACAACCAAAUGCUUGAUGACCCCCCAGGAACAACCCUCAGCCAGAGGCACAGCAUCUCAUGACAAACACAACAUUUCCCACAGUCAACAGAGGGAUCUGCUAUGUCAUAUGCCAAUGAAUCCAAGAACCAAAGGGUCAGUGGAAAGUGCUAGAUUCCCCAAGAGGAGCACCUAAGUUAAAAUUGCCAACAAACUGCUAUAGCAUACACAUCCCUGGACCGAGGUAAUGUUAACUCCUGAAUUGAAUGUUUUUUCCUUGAGAAAAUCUCCUACACACCCAUCCCAAGAUAAAAAGUACAGAGUCCCUUUAUCCAAAAAAGAGGAAUUAUUACCAACUUCUUAAGUUGUUAAGUUUUCGUCUCUUAUUAUUAUGAUGCGUCAAACUUUUUUUAACUUGUUUCAAUUUUGUAAUUUGUACAAUUUUGUUUAAUCAGAAAGUCAUUUCAAGUAACUCCAACUGAGCUAAGAUUUAUCUUAAGCAAUCAUAAUUUUUACUCACUAUUUUGAGUAAAUUAGACUAAUUUGAUACCUUCGGCUCCAGACAGCUUUUCCUUUUUUGGCUGAGCUGUACUGCCGUUUACUGGGACUGGGUUGAUAUACAAAGUAAGCUGACAUGAGCAGAAAAAUGUGUAUAAAAGGUUUAUUUAUUUAAACCCCAGGUUUCAGAGCAUAGACUAUUUUGGAAAGAGAUUCCCAAUAAAACAUCUACACAUCUUCGACUCUAUCAUAAAACUUACUGAGACAAAGGGGUUGUGGCUAUAUUCGAAGUAGACAUAGGGUAAAAGUACACAUUUUUAGAUUCAGUUUGUGAUUCACUGUGAUGCUAAUGAUAUUCAGCUGUCCCUCAGGACAUAGUCAAUCCCUUCAUCUACCCCACCAUCGUCUACUCUCACCAUCUGCCUGGAGGAGAUAAAGACGUGGAAGAAAGCAAAAUGUCCUGCAGCUGAACAGCUCUAGGACUGAAACUAUUUUACAAACCCCACACCAGGUUAGAACAUCUAACAUCACCUGUAUUACCCUCUCUAGUCAGGACAUUGUCAACAUCUGUUACCAACCACAAGGUUAAAAUGGACUGAACUUAUGAGGCUUACAUCAAAAGUUAGUCCACUCGUUUCAAUCCAAGCCGGAUUUCUGCAACGCACUUCUAACUACUGGACUACCGGGAAAACCCAUUCAAAACAGUGCUGCUAGGAUCCUCAUAAGGGUGCGUAAAUACAAUCCAAUACAACCAUUCUUAAAUCCCCCCAUUGGCUCCUGGUCUCUUUUAGAAUUGAUUACAAGGUUGCAUUGACCGUUCAGUUAAAGGUGUGAGCCAAGCCCCGCCUGAAGCUGCUCCGGUGACUCACACUAUCAGACCAUACAUCUACACACACACUCCUGAGAAAACACAAAUGAGCAGCCUUGAGUUUCCGACGCUGGAUGAAGUAUAGACUCUUCACAGUACGGGUGCGACAGUGACUCAGACGACAUUGGAAGGGAAACCUGGCGGUGAUCAGCUGAUCACAACCUAAAGGACCCUAACGAACAAUCAAUGCGUCAACACACAGGUUGGAAACAAUCUAACGCUACUGUUCAACAGGAAGAAGCAGAUUGUUACAGACAAAUCGAUUGUAACCUUGUUUUGUUAAACUUCAUUUUAUGUUACUCUGAUUAUUGCCUUAAUCAUAUGAUGUUUCUAUGUAAUUUUACACACUAUUUUUGAUAAAGAAAAUUUCACAAUA